rnacentral:rRNA from 1 species
UUGAACGCUGAUGGUAUGCUUAACACAUGCAAGUCGAGCGCUGCAGCAAUGCGGAGCGGCGGACGGGUGAGUAACGCGUAGGAAUCUGCCUUUUGGAGGGGGACAACCCAGGGAAACUUGGGCUAAUACCGCAUAAUACCUAAGGGUUAAAGGCUUCGGCCACCAAAAGAUGAGCCUGCGUUGGAUUAUGCUAGUAGGUUGGGUAAAGGCUGACCUAGGCGACGAUCCAUAGCUGUUCUGAGAGGAAGAUCAGCCACACUGGGACUGAGACACGGCCCAGACUCCUACGGGAGGCAGCAGUGGGGAAUAUUGGACAAUGGGGGCAACCCUGAUCCAGCAAUACCAUGUGUGUGAAGAAGGCCUUAGGGUUGUAAAGCACUUUUGUCAAUGAGGAAGGUCGUGGUAACACGGCUUGACGUUAGUUGAAGAAAAAGCACCGGCUAACUCUGU